CCUACGGGAGGCAGCAGUGGGGAAUAUUGCGCAAUGGGCGAAAGCCUGACGCAGCGACGCCGCGUGAGGGAUGAAGGUCUUCGGAUCGUAAACCUCUGUCAGCAGGGAAGAACGGUCACUGUGCUAAUCAGCAGUGAAUUGACGGUACCUGCAAAGGAAGCACCGGCUAACUCCGUGCCAGCAGCCGCGGUAAUACGGAGGGUGCGAGCGUUAAUCGGAAUUACUGGGCGUAAAGCGCGCGUAGGCGGUAUGUCAAGUCAAGGGUGAAAUCCCCGCGCUCAACGUGGGAACUGCCUUUGAAACUGGCAAACUGGAGUGUGGGAGAGGAUAGUGGAAUUCCAGGUGUAGGGGUGAAAUGCGUAGAUAUCUGGAGGAACAUCAGUGGCGAAGGCGACUAUCUGGCACAUAACUGACGCUGAGGAGCGAAAGCGUGGGUAGCAAACAGGAUUAGAUACCCCUGUAGUC
rnacentral:rRNA from 1 species